rnacentral:rRNA from 1 species
UACAGAGGUCUCAAGCGUUGUUCGGAUUCAUUGGGCGUAAAGGGCUCGUAGGCGGCCAACUAAGUCCGACGUGAAAUCCCCAGGCUUAACCUGGGAACUGCGUCGGAUACUGGUUGGCUUGAAUCCGGGAGAGGGAUGCGGAAUUCCAGGUGUAGCGGUGAAAUGCGUAGAUAUCUGGAGGAAUACCGGUGGCGAAGGCGGCAUCCUGGACCGACAUUGACGCUGAGGAGCGAAAGCUAGGGGAGCAAACGGG